GGCCUCAAUAGAACGCGAACGACAGUCCCCAAAAUUGUUGUAGUUAAAGAAAUAGCAGAAGUAAACCAUCUCCCCCUCUUUUCCGCAUAACAUACAUGCAUGUAUAACAAAACAUUUAAAUAUUAUCAAUUUGUCUUCUUUAAAAGUAUUUGAUGAAGAAAUGAAUUUAUACAUGUAACAAGCGAUAGGAAUGUUAUUUUGAACUCGAUGAUUUCCGUGUAUUCAUCAUGAUUUUAGAUCCGGUUAAAAACCCCAAAACGAAUAUUAGUUAUAUGGAAAUCUAGGUGACAGCAAUACACAAGAAUGCCCUCACGGUUAUCAGC
rnacentral:lncRNA from 1 species